rnacentral:tRNA from 1 species
CGAGAAAGGGAGGAGUUGAACCCCCAUAUGCUGGUUUCAAGCCAGCCACAUAACCACUCUGCCACUUCCUU